UGAGAGGGUGAUCGGCCACAUAGCCUGAUGCAGCAACGCCGCGUGAAGGAUGAAGGCCCUUGGGUCGUAAACUUCUGUUCUAAGGGAAGAUAAUGACGGUACCUUAGGAGCAAGUCCCGGCUAACUACGUGCCAGCAGCCGCGGUAAUACGUAGGGGGCGAGCGUUAUCCGGAAUUAUUGGGCGUAAAGAGUACGUAGGUGGUUUCCUAAGCGAGGGGUUUAAGGCAAUGGCUUAACCAUUGUUCGCCCCCCGAACUGGGUUACUUGAGUGCUGGAGGGGAAAGCGGAAUUCCUAGUGUAGCGGUGAAAUGCGUAGAUAUUAGGAGGAACACCAGUGGCGAAGGCGGCUUUCUGGACAGUAACUGACACUGAGGUACGAAAGUGUGGGGAGCAAACAGGAUUAGAUACCCUGGUAGUCCACACCGUAAACGAUGAGCACUAGGUGUUGGGCUCGCAAGAGUUCGGUGCCGCAGUUAACGCAUUAAGUGCUCCGCCUGGGGAGUACGUACGCAAGUAUGAAACUCAAAGGAAUUGACGGGGACCCGCACAAGCAGCGGAGCAUGUGGUUUAAUUCGAAGCAACGCGAAGAACCUUACCAGGGCUUGACAUCCCUCUGACCGGCCUGAUAACGACGGCCUUUCUUCGGACAGAGGUGACAGGUGGUGCAUGGUUGUCGUCAGCUCGUGUCGUGAGAUGUUGGGUUAAGUCCCGCAACGAGCGCAACCCUUGUCAUUAGUUGCCAUCAUUUGGUUGGGCACUCUAGUGAGACUGCCGGGGACAACUCGGAGGAAGGUGGGGAUGACGUCAAAUCAUCAUGCCCCUUAUGUUCUGGGCUACACACGUGCUACAAUGGUCGGUACAAAGAGUCGCGAGACCGUGAGGUGGAGCCAAUCUCAAAAACCGAUCCCAGUUCGGAUUGCAGGCUGCAACUCGCCUGCAUGAAGUCGGAGUUGCUAGUAAUCGUGGAUCAGAAUGCCACGGUGAAUGCGUUCCCGGGUCUUGUACACACCGCCCGUCACACCAUGGAAGUUGGGGGCGCCCGAAGUUGGACAAGUAAUAGUUUACCUAAGGCGAAAUCAAUGACUGGGGUGAAGUCG
rnacentral:rRNA from 1 species